rnacentral:tRNA from 1 species
GAAAUCAUUGACCAAAGUGCAAAUUUGGAACAGGACCCAGAAGGGUCCCGGGGGCUU